UUCAUUUGUCAGUUACAUAAAUGGUUUUUUAAAGUUCUCGUUUAAUAAUUAAAGCUUUUAACAGUUUUUUUCCUUAAAUUAUUUUAUUGAAAAUGAAAGUUUACCCUAGAGAAGAACAAAUUAACAUGGAUUUAUUCUUGAUAAAUGUCUCCAAAAUAGCUUUUUGGCAUGUCGCGUCUACAAAAUAAGUCUUCAAAAUAAGGACGCUAUUGAAAUGUUUACUUUAAAGAAACUGGAAAUGUUGAGUGAAAGAGGGAUCUUAAAAGAAAACGGAAAAUGGACAUACUGAGUUGGCCGUUAUUGCUAAAGUUGUCGAAGAUCCUUAUAUCGGGCAAAACCAAAUUGCAAAAAAUCACACCAAAUUGCAUUAGUCAAGCAAUUUUUUUGUAGGCUACUACAUCGAAAUUACUUUCAUCCUUAAACAAUUAAUCGUUUCAAAGAACUUUAGAUAUUUUAAUAGAAGAUUUGAAUUCUAUAUGUAGGUCUUGGCCCUUGGAAGGAUAAUGACUGGCCUUGUAAUUGGUCCAUAUUUUUCUAAUACAUACUUGAAUGGAACAAGAUUGGUGGAGUUCUUAAAUACUAAAUUUCCAGUAUUGUUGACAAAUAUUCGUCAAAGCUUUCGAAAAAUUAUGUGGCUUGAAAUAAAUGGAGCACCGCCAUAUUUCCACCGUGGGGUUGGACCGAUGGAUUGGAAGGGCUAAUCCUAUCAAAUCCUCCUCAGAUCCUCCAAGAUCCCCGGAUUUGACAGCGACGGAUUUUUUCUUAUAGGGAUAUGUGAAAGAUUUUGUCAAUUGCCAAUAGUCGCUGCAAAUUUUGACAAGAGGGUGCGUAGAUAUUUGCUAUUAGGUCGUCAUCAUUUUAAGCACAUUUUGUAAUCGUCAUUUUUAAUUUUUCUUAAGUAUAAGUCAGUUGAAAAUAGAUACAUUGUUAAUACAGUAUUAAAUUUCACCUAUAGCUAAUCUAUAGUGUUGCAUGCUGUAGUCAAUUAUAAUCAGGUGUUUAAUUUAAACUUAGCAUGUCAUUGUACCUAAAAAGCCAUAACUAUUUAAAUUGAAACUUGAAUACUCGCCAUGAAUUACUUUUCAAAUAUAGUAAAAAAAAAAACAAAUGGA